UAUGGCAGAUUAGUGCAUUGGAUUUAAACCCCAAAAAUAAAGCAAACUUUUUUUAGAA
rnacentral:tRNA from 1 species